UACGUAGGGGGCAAGCGUUGUCCGGAAUCAUUGGGCGUAAAGCGCGUGUAGGCGGUUCGGUAAGUCCGCUGUGAAAGUCGGGGGCUCAACCCUCGGAUGCCGGUGGAUACUGUCGGGCUUGAGUACGGAAGAGGCGAGUGGAAUUCCUGGUGUAGCGGUGAAAUGCGCAGAUAUCAGGAGGAACACCAAUGGCGAAGGCAGCACUCUGGGACGUGACUGACGCUGAGACGCGAAAGCGUGGGGAGCAAACAGG
rnacentral:rRNA from 1 species